GACGAACGCUGGCGGCGUGCUUAACACAUGCAAGUCGAACGGAAAGGCCCUGCUUUUGUGGGGUGCUCGAGUGGCGAACGGGUGAGUAACACGUGAGUAACCUGCCCCUGACUUUGGGAUAACUUCAGGAAACUGGGGCUAAUACCGGAUAGGAGCUCCUGCUGCAUGGUGGGGGUUGGAAAGUUUCGGCGGUUGGGGAUGGACUCGCGGCUUAUCAGCUUGUUGGUGGGGUAGUGGCUUACCAAGGCUUUGACGGGUAGCCGGCCUGAGAGGGUGACCGGCCACAUUGGGACUGAGAGACGGCCCAGACUCCUACGGGAGGCAGCAGUGGGGAGUAUUGCACAAUGGGCGGAAGCGUGAUGCAGCAGCGCCGCGUGCGGGAUGACGGCCUUCGAGUUGUAAACCGCUUUCGCCUGAGACGAAGCGGGAGUGACGGUAAUGGGUAAAGAAGCACCGGCUAACUACGUG
rnacentral:rRNA from 1 species